AUCACUUCUUGGCCUUUUGGCUGAGAUCAAGGGUAGUGUCUGUUCUUAUCAGGUUAAUAUCUCAUACAUCCUCUAGCCAAGGAUAAGAUAUUAGGAGGAUUUAUGGAGCAGGGAGCUCCAUCCACU
rnacentral:snRNA from 1 species